rnacentral:rRNA from 1 species
UGGCGGACGGGUGAGUAACGCGUGGGCAACCUGCCCCGCACUGGGGGACAACAGCCGGAAACGGCUGCUAAUACCGCAUAAGCGCACAGCUUCGCAUGAAGCGGUGUGAAAAACUCCGGUGGUGCGGGAUGGGCCCGCGUCUGAUUAGCUGGUUGGCGGGGUAACGGCCCACCAAGGCAACGAUCAGUAGCCGGCCUGAGAGGGUGGACGGCCACAUUGGGACUGAGACACGGCCCAGACUCCUACGGGAGGCAGCAG